UAGUCAUAUGCUUGUCUCAAAGAUUAAGCCAUGCAUGUCUAAGUAUAAACAACAUUAUACUGUGAAACUGCGAAUGGCUCAUUAUAUCAGUUAUAGUUUACUUGAUGAUCCUUGCUACUUGGAUACCCGUAGUAAUUCUAGAGCUAAUACAUGCACCAAACCCCGACUGCUUGGAAGGGGUGUAUAUAUUAGAUGGAAACCAAUGCGGGGCAACCCGGAAUAUGGUGAUUCAUAAUAUCUUUCGGAUCGACUUCGGUCGAUACAUCAUUCAAGUUUCUGCCCUAUCAGCUUUGGAUGGUAGGGUAUUGGCCUACCAUGGCUUUAACGGGUAACGGAGAAUUAGGGUUCGAUUCCGGAGAGGGAGCCUGAGAAAUGGCUACUACAUCCAAGGAAGGCAGCAGGCGCGUAAAUUACCCAAUCCUGACACAGGGAGGUAGUGACAAUAAAUAACAAUGCCGGGCCUUUUAUGGUUUGGCAAUUGGAAUGAGAACAAUUUAAAUCCCUUAUCGAGGAUCAAUU
rnacentral:rRNA from 1 species